UACGUAGGGUGCGAGCGUUAAUCGGAAUUACUGGGCGUAAAGCGUGCGCAGGCGGUUCGCAAAGUCUGAUGUGAAAGCCCCGGGCUCAACCUGGGAACUGCAUUGGAAACUAACGGGCUCGAGUGUGGCAGAGGGGGGGUGGAAUUCCACGUGUAGCAGUGAAAUGCGUAGAGAUGUGGAGGAACACCGAUGGCGAAGGCAGCCCCCUGGGCUAACACUGACGCUCAGGCACGAAAGCGUGGGGGAGCAAACAGG
rnacentral:rRNA from 1 species